rnacentral:rRNA from 1 species
CGCCGUAAAUACCGGAGGAAGGUGGGGAUGACGUCAAAUCAUCAUGCCCCUUAUGACCUGGGCUACACACGUGCUACAAUGGGCGGUACAAAGGGUCGCGAACCCGCGAGGGGGAGCCAAUCCCAAAAAGCCGCUCUCAGUUCGGAUUGCAGGCUGCAACUCGCCUGCAUGAAGCCGGAAUCGCUAGUAAUCGCGGAUCAGCAUGCCGCGGUGAAUACGUUCCCGGGCCUU